UGUAGAUGAUUCAGAUGAAACUGCCAAACAUUUAGGGUGUGUUUGGUUUCACGUAAAACUGUGAAAAAAAAAUUUUCGGUGGAAUCGGUGGGAAAAAGGUUUUACGUCGUUUGUGUUUCGUGUGUAAGAAAAGAAAAAUCGUUUUCCGUGACGUUGUUUGGUUGAAAGAAAAAGAUAAAAAAUUAUUUAAUAUAUAUAUUAUUAAUAUAUAAUAAUAAUUAUUAUGCUAUAUAUGAAAAAUUAUUAUAUAUAUUUUCUCCUUAUAUAUAU
rnacentral:lncRNA from 1 species